CAGUAGCCGCGGUAAUACAGAGGGUGCGAGCGUUAAUCGGAUUUACUGGGCGUAAAGCGUGCGUAGGCGGCUAAUUGAGUCGGAUGUGAAAUCCCCGAGCUUAACUUGGGAAUUGCAUUCGAUACUGGUUAGCUAGAGUGUGGGAGAGGAUGGUAGAAUUCCAGGUGUAGCGGUGAAAUGCGUAGAGAUCUGGAGGAAUACCGAUGGCGAAGGCAGCCAUCUGGCCUAACACUGACGCUGAGGUACGAAAGCAUGGGGAGCAAACAGGAUUAGAUACACCCGUAGUCCCUGUCUCUUAUAC
rnacentral:rRNA from 1 species